rnacentral:rRNA from 1 species
GUGAAGGUGGCCUGUGAGGGUUGCUGGAGGUAUCAGAAGUGCGAAUGCUGACAUAAGUAACGAUAAAGCGGGUGAAAAGCCCGCUCGCCGGAAGACCAAGGGUUCCUGUCCAACGUUAAUCGGGGCAGGGUGAGUCGACCCCUAAGGCGAGGCCGAAAGGCGUAGUCGAUGGGAAACGGGUUAAUAUUCCCGUACUUGGUGUUACUGCGAAGGGGGGACGGAGAAGGCUAUGUUGGCCGGGCGACGGUU